rnacentral:misc_RNA from 1 species
GAAAGGAGAGAAUUAAUGUGAAUUGCAGAAUUCAGUGAAUCAUCGAGUCUUUGAACGCACAUUGCGCCCCCUGAUAUUCCGGGGGGCAUGCCUGUCCGAGCGUCAUUGCUGCCCUCAAGCACGGCUUGUGUGUUGGGCUUCCGUCCCUGGCAACGGGGACGGGCCCAAAAGGCAGUGGCGGCACCAUGUCUGGUCCUCGAGCGUAUGGGGCUUUGUCACCCGCUCCCGUAGGUCCAGCUGGCAGCUAGCCUCGCAACCAAUCUUUUUAACCAGGUUGACCUCGGAUCAGGUAGGGAUACCCGCUGAACUUAAGC